rnacentral:rRNA from 1 species
AUACCCCAACAGCUAGCCCACCUUCUAAAUUUGAACCAGUCUUAUUAAUUAACCCAAAAAUGAUUAACUAGACCUAAACAAACCAUUUCUCCCCCUAAGUAUGUGAGACAGAAAGGGGCAACUUUUGGAGCGAUAGAGAAAGUACCGCAAGGGAAAGCUGAAAGAGAAGUGAAAAAACUUAGUGAAGGCCUAAGAAGCAGAGACACCCCCUCGUACCUUUUGCAUCAUGAUUUAGCCAGUACCCCUCAAGCAAAGAGCCCUAUACGUUUGAUUCCCCGAAACUGGACGAGCUACUCCAAGACAGCCUAUUACAGGGCAAACCCGUCUCUGUUGCAAAAGGGUGGGGAGAUCUUUGAGUAGAGGUGAUAAACCUACCGAGCCCAGUUAUAGCUGGUUGCCUGGGAAAUGAAUAAGAGUUCAACCUUUUUUCUUCUUUCAGCAAAACCUGGAAGCCUUCACUUCCUCUUUAAGCCUAAAAGAAGCUAAAAGAGCUAUUCAAGAGAGGGACAGCUCUCUUGAAAAAAGAGACAACUUUACUAGAAGGUUAAAGACUAUAAAACAUAAAAGGACCUAAACCUAAGUGGGCUUAAAAGCAGCCACCUUCAUAAAUAGCGUUAAAGCUUAAAUUCCUCCCACUCCUAUAAUUAUAACAAAAAUUUCUUAAACCUCUUUUUUUACCAGACCAUUUCAUGCAAACAUGAAAGAGACCCUGCUAAUAUGAGUAAUAAGAGGUCGCUUAGCCCCUCUCCCCGCACCCUUGUAAAUCAGAACGAACCCACACUGAAAACUAACGCCCCCAACCAAAUGAGGGUAUUAAGAAAAUACAUCCAGAACUAGAAAAACCCAACUAAAAAAGCGUUAAACCAACACAGGAGUGCCCCCGGAAAGACUAAAAGAAAAAGAAGGAACUCGGCAAACACUGGCCUCGCCUGUUUACCAAAAACAUCGCCUCUUGCCCCUAUAGCAUAAGAGGUCCCGCCUGCCCACUGACAUUAAGGUUCAACGGCCGCGGUAUUUUGACCGUGCAAAGGUAGCGUAAUCAUUUGUCUUUUAAAUAGAGACCUGUAUGAAUGGCACCACGAGGGCCAAACUGUCUCCUUUUUCCAGUCAAUGAAAUUGAUCUGCCCGUGCAGAAGCGGGCAUAUAAACAUAAGACGAGAAGACCCUAUGGAGCUUCAGAUAUAAGAUAGCCCAUGUUAAAUUCCCUACAUAAUAAGGUUAAAACUUAAUGGCCUCCUAUCCUUCUUAUCUUCGGUUGGGGCGACCAUGGGGAAAAAAGAACUCCCCACGAGGAAUGGACCUUAUAUUCCCAAUGCCAGAGCAACAGCUCUAACAACCAGAACAUCUGACCUUCAAGAUCCGGCAUUACCGAUCAACGGACCCAGUUACCCUAGGGAUAACAGCGCAAUCCUCUUCUAGAGUCCUUAUCGACAAGAGGGUUUACGACCUCGAUGUUGGAUCAGGGCCUCCUAAUGGUGUAACCGCUAUUAAGGGUUC